CAUUGUAUCGAAAGUGACUAUGGCCUGAAUGUUGCCAGCUCAUUGGUACUACAGGGAGAAUGAACUGAAAGCCUGUCCCGUGUUUGCUGGAAGUACUAUCCCUUUCAAACCCUGUAUCUUUCAGACA